UACGUAGGGGGCAAGCGUUGUCCGGAAUCAUUGGGCGUAAAGAGCGUGUAGGCGGCCCGAUAAGUCCGCUGUGAAAGUCCAGGGCUCAACCCUGGAAUGCCGGUGGAUACUGUCGGGCUCGAAUCCGGAAGAGGUGAGUGGAAUUCCAGGUGUAGCGGUGAAAUGCGUAGAUAUCUGGAGGAACACCGGUAGCGAAGGCGGCAUCCUGGACCGGCAUUGACGCUGAGGCGCGAAAGCUAGGGGAGCAAACGGG
rnacentral:rRNA from 1 species